GCCCUUGUGAUGGAAUUGGUAGACAUAGCGGACUUAAAAUCCGUAGGCNUUNAGCCGUGGGAGUUCGAGUCUCCCCGAGGGCACCA
rnacentral:tRNA from 1 species